rnacentral:piRNA from 1 species
UCACAGCUUUGAACCUGCCAAAGGACCCU